CCUGAAUGCCCAGCUUCAGUGCCUGGUUACUGCUGCCAAGGAUCCUGCUGGCACAUUCAGCUGCCAUUCAAAGAAACAGCCCUCCACACCGCCUCGCACUUGGAAGUCUGUCUUACAGCAUAAAACAGGAAAAGACUGUUAGUAUUCAAAUGUGGUAGUUAUUUUACACUAAAUUAAAUCUACACUUUGAUGGAAGAUAAAAAUGUGACUAAUUGAAAUCAAUUCCUGGAAGAUGAAAUCUCAGCAUAAAGUUUUGUGAAUGUCAACACUGUCAGUUACAUCUACUCAAGAUUCCCUAGACCUUAUUAAUGUCUAUCAGGUUUAAAAAAACAGUUGUGUGGUUUUGCCUUCAUCGUUUCCUUUUUGUUGAACAUAUCCAGACCAAUAAUAAGAGAUCCAAUUAACCCCAUUUCAGAAUGGGUUUACAUGGGCAUUAUUGAUACAGUAAAUGAUCCUGUAUCACCAGCAAAGUAUAGAAUUAAAAUUGACCUUGGCUUACACUGA